rnacentral:lncRNA from 10 species
GUUCACAUUAUUUUUAAAAAGUGAUGGGCUCCCAUAUUGGCAGAGGCAUUGAGGCACUCAGCAGGGUCAACUGGGACAGUGCUUCUGAGCAAAGUAUAUUGAAGUCAGAGUGAGAGUUUUGGAUUCAUUGAAUUUCAGACAAAUGGUUAUAUGCCUAAGAAAGGCGUUGGCCCAUUUCUUGGGUAAAUCACUGGGGAGGCUUGAAAGCACAGAGGUGGAGACUUAAGACAAUGCACUCUGUAGCCAUGCUCUCUGGAUUUGAAUCCCAGAUUUGCCUCUUAGUAACCCUAUGACCUUGCCUGCUAGCAGAGAUGAAUAAGGCUGAAGAAGCAAGUCCCUGGAGAGAAAGGAAGAGAUGAGAGAGACCCCCAAGUUGUGUGAUCACCUCCAGCACACUGGAGACUGAGCCGUUUCACAAGAUCAUUCAUUCUAGGAGAGACCUUGGGAGGAGAAGUCAUGAGGACAGUCAACCAGCUCUUUGAAGAAGUCCACAUGCUGAGAAACUGAGGCCUCCUGCCAACAGCCUUGUGAGUGAAUCAUCUUGGAGGUGGAUCCUCCAGCACCUGUAAAACCUUCAGAUGACCACAGAUCUGGCUGACAUUUUGACCUCAAUGUUAUGAAAAAUCUUGAGGCAGAAGCACCCAGCUAAGCCAAUCCUGUAUUCUUCACCUACAGAAACUAUGAGAUGAAGUAAAUCUCCUGUCAAAGGAUUGGAGAGAAGGAACCAACCGUCUUUCACUCACCCACUUAGAACCUUCUGGAAGCCCUGACUGCCUUGCUGUAAGGUCGGCUGAAUGGAAAGAGACAAAGGCUGUUGGCCCUGAUAACAGAGGACAUGGAGAACACUGACGGGCCAGCACAGAGAGGUGUCAAACCUACAUUGCAGCCUGAAGGAUGUCUUCACUUCCUCCUGCUCCUUCGCCUUGUAUCCUUCAUAGAUUUUUCCCGCAAUAAAACUUUGCA